rnacentral:misc_RNA from 1 species
UAAAAUCCCCUGUUGUAGCA